GAUGAACGCUGGCGGCGUGCCUAAUACAUGCAAGUCGAGCGAACAGAUUAGGAGCUUGCUCCUCUGACGUUAGCGGCGGACGUGUGAGUAACACGUGUAUAACCUACCUAUAUGACUGGUAUAACUUCGGGAAACCGGCUCUAAUACCGUAUAAUAUAUUGAACCGCAUGGUUCAAUUGUGAAAGACGGUUUUGCUGUCACUUAUAGAUGGAUCCUCGCCGCAUUAGCUAGUUGGUAAGGUAACGGGUUACUAAGGCAACUAUGCGUAGACGACCUGAGAGGGUGAGAGGGCACACUGGAACUGAGACACGGACAAGAGUCCUACGGGAGGCAGCAGUAGGGAAGCGUCCGAAAUGGGAGAAAGCGUGAAGGAGCAACGCAGCGUGAGUGAUGAAGGUAUUCGGAUCGUAAAACUCUGUUAUUAGGGAAGAACAAAUGUGUAAGUAACUAUGCACGUCUUGACGGUACCUAAUCAGAAAGCCACGGCUAACUACGUG
rnacentral:rRNA from 1 species